rnacentral:rRNA from 1 species
UACGAAGGGUGCAAACGUUGCUCGGAAUUAUUGGGCGUAAAGCGCACGUAGGCGGCUUAGUAAGUUGGAUGUGAAAUCCCUCGGCUUAACCAAGGAAGUGCAUCCAAAACUACUGAGCUUGAGUACUAAAGAGGAUCGCGGAAUUCCCGGUGUAGAGGUGAAAUUCGUAGACAUCUGGAGGAACACCGGUGGCGAAGGCGGCAUCCUGGACCGGCAUUGACGCUGAGGCGCGAAAGCUAGGGGAGCAAACGGG